rnacentral:rRNA from 1 species
CGCCUGUUUAUCAAAAACAUGUCUUCUAGACUAAAAAAUUAGAAGUCCGGCCUGCCCAGUGAAGAGUUCAACGGCCGCGGUAGCCUGACCGUGCUAAGGUAGCGCAAUCACUUGCCUUUUAAUUGAAGGCUAGUAUGAAUGGUCAGUCAAGGGCUAAGCUGUCUCAAAGAAAUCUAUAAAAAUUGACCCUUAGGUGAAGAGGCCUAAAUAGAAAUAAAAGACGAGAAGACCCUAUCGAGCUUUAACUUUAUUUAUUUUACUGUUAUAAUAUAAGUUUUUGUUGGGGCAACAGAGGAAAAAUAAAAUCUUCCUUCUAUUUACUAGACUACACAUUUAAAAUCGACAAAGUUUUAAAAUCUAAUUUACUAACCAUAGGUAACAGCUACCGUAGGGAUAACAGACUAAUUUCCCUUAAGAGGUCCCAUCGACAGGGAAGCUUAGCACCUCGAUGUUGGCUUAAGAUACCAGUUAUGGAGCAGUAUCCUAACUUUGUGGGUUUGUUCAACCUUUAAUAUCUUACGUGAUCUGAGUUCAGACCGGAAUC